rnacentral:rRNA from 1 species
CUCCAGACUCCUACGGGAGGCAGCAGUGAGGAAUAUUGGUCAAUGGGCUUACGCCUGAACCAGCCAAGUCGCGUGAGGGAAGACUGCCCUAUGGGUUGUAAACCUCUUUUGUCAGGGAGCAACGCCGGCUACGUGUAGCCGGACUGAGAGUACCUGAAGAAAAAGCAUCGGCUAACUCCGUGCCAGCAGCCGCGGUAAUACGGAGGAUGCGAGCGUUAUCCGGAUUUAUUGGGUUUAAAGGGUGCGUGGGCGGGCUUUUAAGUCAGCGGUAAAAAUUCGGGGCUCAACCCCGUCCGGCCGUUGAAACUGGCAGUCUCGAGUUGGAGAGAAGUAUGCGGAAUGCGCGGUGUAGCGGUGAAAUGCAUAGAUAUCGCGCAGAACUCCGAUUGCGAAGGCAGCAUGCCGGCUCCACACUGACGCUGAGGCACGAAAGCGUGGGUAUCGAACAGGAUUAGAUACCCUAGUAG